AGUGAACGCUGGCGGUAGGCCUAACACAUGCAAGUCGAACGGCAGCACAGUAAGAGCUUGCUCUUACGGGUGGCGAGUGGCGGACGGGUGAGGAAUACAUCGGAAUCUACUUUUUCGUGGGGGAUAACGUAGGGAAACUUACGCUAAUACCGCAUACGCCCUACGGGUGAAAGCAGGGGAUCUUCGGACCUUGCGCGAUUGAAUGAGCCGAUGUCGGAUUAGCUAGUUGGCGGGGUAAAGGCCCACCAAGGCGACGAUCCGUAGCUGGUGUGAGAGGAUGAUCAGCCACACUGGAACUGAGACACGGUCCAGACUCCUACGGGAGGCAGCAGUGGGGAAUAUUGGACAAUGGGCGCAAGCCUGAUCCAGCCAUACCGCGUGGGUGAAGAAGGCCUUCGGGUUGUAAAGCCCUUUUGUUGGGAAAGAAAAGCAGCAGGUUAAUACCCCGCUGUUCUGACGGUACCCAAAGAAUAAACACCGGCUAACUUCGUG
rnacentral:rRNA from 1 species